rnacentral:misc_RNA from 1 species
UCUCCGUAGGUGAACCUGCGGAGGGAUCAUUACAAGUGACCCCGGUCUUACCACCGGGAUGUUCAUAACCCUUUGUUGUCCGACUCUGUUGCCUCCGGGGCGACCCUGCCUUCGGGCGGGGGCUCCGGGUGGACACUUCAGACUCUUGCGUAACUUUGCAGUCUGAGUAAACUUAAUUAAUAAAUUAAAACUUUUAACAACGGAUCUCUUGGUUCUG